UACGUAGGGUGCAAGCGUUGUCCGGAAUUAUUGGGCGUAAAGGGCUCGUAGGCGGUCCAUCACGUCGGGAGUGAAAAGCUGGGGCUUAACCCCAGUCCUGCUUCCGAUACGGGUGGACUAGAGGUAGGCAGGGGAGAACGGAAUUCCUGGUGUAGCGGUGAAAUGCGCAGAUAUCAGGAGGAACACCGGUGGCGAAGGCGGGUCUCUGGGCAGUAACUGACGCUGAGGCGCGAAAGCGUGGGGAGCGAACAGG
rnacentral:rRNA from 1 species